rnacentral:rRNA from 1 species
GAUGAACGCUGGCGGCGUGCCUAAUACAUGCAAGUCGAGCGAACAGACGAGAGUGCUUGCACUCUCUGACGUUAGCGGCGGACGGGUGAGUAACACGUGGGUAACCUACCUAUAAGACUGGGAUAACUUCGGGAAACCGGAGCUAAUACCGGAUAAUAUUUAGCUUCGCAUGAAGCAAUAGUGAAAGACGGUUCUGCUGUCACUUAUAGAUGGACCCGCGGUGUAUUAGCUAGUUGGUGAGGUAACGGCUCACCAAGGCAACGAUACAUAGCCGACCUGAGAGGGUGAUCGGCCACACUGGGACUGAGACACGGCCCAGACUCCUACGGGAGGCAGCAGUAGGGAGUCUUCCGCAAUGGACGAAAGUCUGACGGAGCAAUGCCGCGUGAGUGAAGAAGGUUUUCGGAUCGUAAAACUCUGUUGUAAGGGAAGAACAAGUACGUUAGUAACUGAACGUACCUUGACGGUACCUUACCAGAAAGCCACGGCUAACUACGUG